CUCUUAUCGUUAAAAGGAAGGUAAUUAAAUUGGUCUAUUUACAAGUGUGCUCUUCCCCAUUUUGAAAUUUUUCUGUGUACUGAUGAUCUUUUGGACUUUUCAGAAAAGCUCAGCUUCCCCUUCAAAGGCUUUGGCAUUACCAACUCCUGCUCCAUCAUCCCCUGUUGAGGCUACUUCAUCCAAACCGGUUGAUGAUGGGACCAUGCUUAAAGGUAUAUCUUCAGUCCCAGAUUCUUCAUCACAACCCAUGAAUGAGCCACCUUCCUCCCAGGGCGUCGACCCCCCAAUCAUCGAAGCAGAAGGUAAUUCAGUUUUUGAUGUCUUACCUUUGC
rnacentral:lncRNA from 1 species